GAUGAACGCUAGCGGCAGGCCUAAUACAUGCAAGUCGAACGGAGUGGAGCAGCAAUGCUUCACUUAGUGGCGCACGGGUGCGUAACGCGUAUGCAACCUACCUUUUAUUGGGGGAUAGCCCGAAGAAAUUCGGAUUAAUACCGCAUAAUAUCAUUUGAGGGCAUCUGAGGAUGAUGAAAGCUUUGGCGAUAAAAGAUGGGCAUGCGUGUCAUUAGCUAGUUGGUCGGGGUAACGGCUCACCAAGGCGACGAUGACUAGGGGUUCUGAGAGGAUGAUCCCCCACACUGGUACUGAGAUACGGACCAGACUCCUACGGGAGGCAGCAGUAGGGAAUAUUGGGCAAUGGCGGAAACGCUGACCCAGCCAUGCCGCGUGCCGGAUGAAGGCCUUCUGGGUUGUAAACGGCUUUUACCAGGGAAGAACCUACCUUUGCGAAGGGGACUGACGGUACCUGGUGAAUAAGCACCGGCUAACUCCGUGCCAGCCGCCGCAGUAAAAC
rnacentral:rRNA from 1 species